rnacentral:rRNA from 1 species
CCACUUUGUGGUUCAUGACUGGGGUGAAGUCGUAACAAGGUAGCGCUAGGGGAACCUGGCGCUGGAUCACCUCCUUAUACGA